rnacentral:ribozyme from 1 species
UGCCCAGCAACUCCUAUCCCUACCUCCUCGCGGUACUGGCUGGGGUACGAACAACCUUAGGGUAGAUCGGGUAACCAACCCCUGUGGGAACUUCGGUCAUAUGCUGACAGGGAUGA